ACCCACGCCCUUUACAGAACAGGUAAAAAUGGAGGCCUUGAACAAGAUAAAGAGAUUGAAGCUUGCUCUGGAGGCCACGACGGCCAUGAACAUGUUGGAGCCUUUUGAGUAUUAUGCAAUGUAUACUGUUAUUCUCUUGUUGUUCUUCCUUGCUCUGUAUGGCUGCUACUGGUUCUUACCCUCUCAUCUAAGACAUCUGGCAUACGUUGUUGGGCUAUCAAGUACAGAUUUAUGAAGAUUAAAAAAUGAUUAUCAAUAAAUAAUAAUAUUAUUAUUUUAACGACUUUUAACAAUUAAAUUUGCUUAUAAUACAAUCCCAAUAACAAUUAAA